rnacentral:tmRNA from 1 species
GGGGGUGUUCCGGUUUCGACUGGUGGUAGAUCAGGUCAAUGGCUGCAAGCGGAGCGCCAACUCCUUAAACUAGCAACCAAUUUAACUGCCAAACGUGAAGACGAAGAUUUCGUCGCCGAAGCAGAAUUCGCUCUCGCGGCCUAACAGUCCGACAGCGAACAGGGCCGGGAACCUGCCGCUCUUAAGGCUCGGUUACCUGUAACAACAAGGGCUUACCCGACUCAACGCCUAUGGGGGAAGGGGACAAUCAAGUAGGCUGGAAGAGCCGGAUGGAGGUCGGUGGCUGUACCUGCUCUUCGAUAACAAAACCACCGACUAAGCUUGUAGGUGUCAUUGGAUGGCACAUUAGGACGGGGGUUCGAAUCCCCCCACCUCCA